CUAGCAUAUCAAUAAGCGGAGGAAAAGAAACCAACAGGGAUUGCCUCAGUAACGGCGAGUGAAGCGGCAACAGCUCAAAUUUGAAAUCUGGCUCUUUCAGGGUCCGAGUUGUAAUUUGUAGAAGAUGCUUCGGGUGUGGCUCCGGUCUAAGUUCCUUGGAACAGGACGUCAUAGAGGGUGAGAAUCCCGUAUGUGACUGGGUGCCUUCGCUCAUGUGAAGCUCUUUCGACGAGUCGAGUUGUUUGGGAAUGCAGCUCAAAAUGGGUGGUAAAUUUCAUCUAAAGCUAAAUAUUGGCCAGAGACCGAUAGCGCACAAGUAGAGUGAUCGAAAGAUGAAAAGCACUUUGGAAAGAGAGUUAAACAGUACGUGAAAUUGUUGAAAGGGAAGCGCUUGCAACCAGACUUGCACGCGGUUGAUCAUCCGGUGUUCUCACCGGUGCACUCUGCCGCGUUCAGGCCAGCAUCGGUUUUGGUGGUUGGAUAAAGGCCUAGGGAAUGUAGCUUCUUUCGGGGAGUGUUAUAGCCCUAGGUGCAAUGCAGCCUACUGGGACCGAGGACCGCGCUUCGGCUAGGAUGCUGGCGUAAUGGUUGUAAGCGACCCGUCUUGAAACACGGACCAAGGAGUCUAACAUCUAUGCGAGUGUUUGGGUGUCAAACCCAUACGCGUAAUGAAAGUGAACGGAGGUGAGAACCCUUAAGGGUGCAUCAUCGACCGAUCCUGAUGUCUUCGGAUGGAUUUGAGUAAGAGCAUAGCUGUUGGGACCCGAAAGAUGGUGAACUAUGCGUGAAUAGGGUGAAGCCAGAGGAAACUCUGGUGGAGGCUCGCAGCGGUUCUGACGUGCAAAUCGAUCGUCAAAUUUGCGCAUAGGGGCGAAAGACUAAUCGAACCAUCUAGUAGCUGGUUCCUGCCGA
rnacentral:rRNA from 1 species